AUGGGCAACCAGGUGAUCUGCUGUGUGGCCCUUUGUCUCCUCGGAGCAGGCACUGUGGAUGGCGGGGUCACUCAGACCCCAAAAUACCUGUUCAAAAUGGAAGGACGAGAUGUAACCCUGAAAUGUGAACAGGAUUUUGAUUACGACGUCAUGUACUGGUACCGACAGGACCCAGGACAAGGGCUGAGACUGAUCUACUACUCUCAAACUAGUCUGUGUCUGGACUUUUACAAAUACCUAGUCCUUGCCAUGGGUAGCUGGACCUUCUGCUACGUGGCCCUUUGUCUUCUGGGAGCAGGACCCAUGGAUGCUGAAAUCUACCAGAUGAGAUUCCUGCUCGCUGAGGCUGGACGGGAUGUGACCCUGGAGUGUAAACAGGAUCUGAGCUACAACGCCAUGUACUGGUACCGGCAGGAUGCAGGGCAGGGUCUGAGGCUGAUUUACUACUCUACGGUUGAAAAGGAUGUUCAGAGAGGAGACAUAUCUGAAGGCUACAGUGUCUCUCGAGAGGAGAAGGGGCUGUUUCCUCUCACUGUGAAGGCGGCUCACACCAACCAAACAGCCUUGUACCUCUGUGCUGGUAGCGUCACAGUGGAGCACGGCCACACCACACCUGUGCACAAACCCGCUCCAGCCCUGCAGCUCCCAACAUAG